AAAUGCAGCUAUCCCAAGGCAAGUUGGUAUGAAACCAUUAUCAGUCAUGAUCAGUCAUUCCUGUGCAGAGGCAGGAAUCUGAUUGGAGUGUUUGAGAAACAGCCAGAGGCAGGAGCCCAUGGAGCGGAGUGCCCGAAGAGGAGCAGGUCUAGUCUAGCUGCUGUGAGCACAGACUGAAAUAGGGACAAGGGCGGGGUGGGAGACCACCCAGAAGGUGAUUGCAAUAAAGAAAGCAAGAGAUGACCAUGCUGUAGAGCAGGGUGAUGGUGAAAGAGAAGGAUGGAUGCUGAACAGCAUGUUAGUAGCUACUGGAAUGAUGCACUAGGAAGAGAAAUCUUGAUGAAGCAGAAUACAGAUGGAUGAAGAUGGAGUGAAAUCCUGGGUGAGAAGAGAUGGAAAUUUGGGCACAAACAGAAAUAUCUUGCAAUUGUUAUCUCACAGAAAGAGUUUGUCUUCCGGGUGCUAGCAGAGCCAAGUAUUCAACAAUGAGAACUGCGGUGGAGAAAGACUGGCUUAGUUUAUUAUGAAUGGUGCCAUCCAGGAGAACAGGAAGCUAUGGCUCAAAGGCCGGAACUCCUCCCCGGCAUGUAGGUUACAGAUUAUGUAGGGCAAAAUCACAAGACAUCGUGGGAUAGGGGCUCGAGGUCAUGUUGGGUGAGGAUUGGUUGGAGGCGAAGUAAAGGUAAUAAAUCAUUUCUUCAGGUCUUGAGGACAGCUCUGAGGUCUGCUCUGGCGCCCCUCUGUCUGGCUUUAUGGAAAAGUAGCCAGGGGUUCGUUCCACCUUAGGGUUCAGGAGCUGAUAACUUAGAUCAAGAUAUUAUCUUUAGCUUAACAGAAACCCAUACCUUGUGACCCUUAGUCAUGGCAGGGCCACUGUCUCUGGUUGCCUUGCGGGGGUUAACGACUAGCGAGGGAAAGGGCUAAGGCUCACAGGGCAUGCUGGGAAGAAACUGAAUAGAGUGUUGAAGCUACAUAUUAAGUGAAAACCAUACAUUAAAUCAGGAUCCUCGGUUUCACAAUUUCCGUUUUCUCAUAUACAAAAUGUUUAUCUUUGAUUGCUUCCCCUUUUCAUCGCUACUAGGAAGGGGAUCUUUAAGCUCUAUCUAAGUCUUGUUAUGAAAAGCCAUCGAUAUGAGGAAGGGAAAGGUAGCAAGGCCUGUUGUACGAUGAUUUCUUUGGAGAAACAAAGAUGUGUG